AGCGGAGCUGCAGGGCUGUGCAGGUUUCACUUCGCUCCGCGCAGCCUCCAGGUCUGGGUCUUGCGAGAGGGCUCCGUCCCGCGCCGCCGCCGCCGCCGCCGCCACUGCCACCGGAUUCUCGCAGUCGCCCUACGCGCCCCAGCCCAACUGCGGCCAGCAUCGCCACGGGCUGCUCGCUUUGCCCCGCUCCCGCCGCCACCCCUUUGGCGCCCUUUCCUUGGCCCUCGUCCCCCCCAAUGUCUGACUCUGACUCUCGGACUGAGAAGCGCAAGAAAAAAAGACCAAAUGGCAAAGCAACCUUCAGAUGUAAGUUCUGAGUGUGACAGAGAAGGCGGACAAUUGCAGCCUGCUGAGAGGCCUCCUCAGCUCAGGCCUGGGGCCCCUACCUCUCUACAGACAGAGCAGCAAGGUAAUCCUGAAGGCGAAGGGGACCGCUGCCCCCAAGGCAGCCCUCAGGGCCCGCUGGCCCCACCAGCCAGCCCCGGCCCUUUUGCUACCAGAUCCCCGCUUUUCAUCUUUGUGAGAAGAUCCUCCCUGCUGUCUCGAUCCUCCAGUGGGUAUUUCUCUUUUGACACAGACAGGAGCCCGGCACCCAUGAGUUGUGACAAAUCAACACAAACCCCAAGUCCUCCUUGCCAGGCCUUCAACCAUUAUCUCAGUGCAAUGGCUUCCAUGAGGCAGUCUCAGGCUGUACCUGCAGAUAUGCGCCCGGAGAUAUGGAUUGCACAAGAGUUGCGGCGUAUUGGAGACGAAUUUAAUGCAUAUUACCCAAGGAGGUUAGAGCAAUAGAGGAAGGUGUCGUGUAGUUGUCAUGUGUUCAGUCCACUUAAGGGCAGUGGGGAAGCGUAUGACACGGAGCUGUUGGAGUCUGAAUCCUUGAAGGAGGAGGUGAGAGAGGCACAGGUCUUUUUGAAUAAUUACCAAGCAGCCGAAGCCCACCCCCAAAUGAUUAUCUUACGACUGUUACGUUACAUCGUCCGCCUGGUGUGGAGAUUGCAGUGACGACGGGCUCCUUGCAGAGCCAGAUGCGUGCAGACAUUUCGCUUGUUCAGAGCAACAAGCCCCAGCGCCACGGUGUCGGGGUGCCACUGAUUGCCGGGCGGCCUGCGGUUCUCUCCCCGAGAGGGCGCGCAGGGAGGCCGGCCCACGCGUUCCGAGGACACCGCGCUGCAUGUGGACUUGCCCUUUCUGUUCACCACACGGCAGAAUUUCUAAUGGAAGUUUGUUGUGAAUGUAAAUGAGGGAGGAUUCUUCUUUUUUUUUUUUUAUUAAUGUAAAAAUCAUGGUUCUUUGGAGCAGGAUUUUAUGCAAGAAUGGUGUUUACACACGGUGUGGGUUUUUUUCCACCUUCUUUAGUAAGAACAGGUUUUUCAAAAAGGAAAUGGAAACUUUUUAACCAACUUGUGAAUGAUUUUUGUACUAAGAUUUUAAGAACCUAUUGCCUACUCUCAGAGGAUUAUGUAAACUCUGCAGUGGAAACUGAGCCAGCUAAUUGAUAAAGCUGCCUUAGUUUAUUUUUAGAGAUUACUGUACAGAAUUUUUAAACGGGAGAGAUAUGAGAUGGUGCCCUCCCUUCCCUGCCAUUGGCUCUUUGACAUGCUUUUUUUUUUAUCAUUAAUACCAAAAAAGUUCUUAUGAAACGAAACUGAUUAAAGGGGCGGGGGGGGGGGGGUCUGUGGUCAGCCUGUAUUGAUAUGCCACUCCGGAUUGUAAAUAUUUACCUCCUUAAAUUCGAUUGCAUCUGUGGCAAAAUUUUAAAACUCUGUUUUAUGUAUUCCUCUUUGCUUCCUCUUGUGAUGCUCCUCGAGUCUGUCCGGACGCUGAUGCACAUAUUUGGUCCAGUGUAUUCUCAUGAUAAAAGGUAACUGGGUCAGAACGUGAAUUAGGAUCUGCCCGUGUCAACCACAGCCCAGUUGGUCUGUCUUUUGGUAGCGUACUCACUGGGACGUGCUUGGUGUUGGUUUUCGCCUUUGAUGGGCUCCUCAUUCACAAGUGUCCUGGGAGAAGGAGUAGCAGUACUAGCACAGACAGGUACUGUACCCCUCGGCACUGUGGGCUUUUCUGGUUGCAGACUUUCCCAGUCACAGAUGCAUUGUCAGCACGAGGCCACAGAUGGUGAAUGUGCCCCCUUGCAGCUGAGUUCCUUGGGUUGCAAGUGUUGGAGCUCCCGCCCUCGUGGGAAUUGGCGGACGCUGUGGGCGGGGCUUUAGGCAGCAUUCCCUGGGCAUCCAGGCUUUUUGUCCAACUCCAGGUUUAUCUGGCUUUUGAUGCCUGACAUUUGCUUCCCCUUAAAUCCACUUUGAAAUAAAGGCUUUAAUUCUGCUUUUAGCAGAACCAUAAAAAUUGGGCAUCGGAGCACGAAUCUGAAGUGACCUCUCAGCCUUCUGACAGAUGUCUCUCUGGCUUGUUCCGUAACUCGGGACAGUUGGGUUUUGUUGGACCAUCCUUUGUGUAUCCACCUCUGUUGGGGUGCUCGUUUUCUCCACACCUGCCUAGGAGGAAUGCAGCGAAUGGAGUCACCAUGAGUUGGCCCAUCAUUUCAAAGGCAUUAAACAAUUUGGAGAGACCCAAAAGAUCAGGAAGUGGUGAAAGAGGAGAGGUAGAGAUCAUUUCGUGAACCCUAUAACUCUUUACAGAUUUUGAAACCUCAGAUCAUUAAACAGCUUUUAAAAAGAAAAACGUGAUUUUUUUUUUUUCAAACAAAUCAGUGCCAACAACUAUUGUUUUGCUUUUGGCUCAUAGAGGACCAGUAUUUCCACGUGAUUAAAUUAAGGGGGGUCCUUUCAUUUGUAUCUUCAUAAUUCUAUAUAAAUAUAUAUCUAUAUAUAUCUACAGCAUAUACACAUUUUCCUUUAGGUAGAGAUAUUUGAUUCCAAAUAUUCUUCCUUUUUUAGAAUUUUCUUUUACCACCCCCAAAUCUUCUUGGGGUCUUGAAUAUUUUUAAAGCUGUGUUGAGUGUCAGCUUGUGUUCUUGAUGUGUCUUGAACCCCUUUAUAGGGUCAUAAAGUCCACACGGUUGUAAGGCGGUGGUGGACCUGCUGGACACACACACCAAAGACGUAUUUGGUUCUGGGUGCCCCACUCCCACCCCUCCCCAGGAUCUCCGUACUCAGUGCCAGUCUCUCUGACUGGAGCACUUUACUCUGUUUCUUCGAUACUGCGGCUCCCUGGGAGCGGUGCCCGAGGGCUGUGUGCUGGCCACAUAGGCAGGUUUACCUCCGGCUCGGUGGCCUCGUGGCCUCCAGGCUGGCCAUGGAAGCAGCUUGUGAGGAAAUAAGAGAUUCUAUGAAUUGUAGUAUUAAGGAGCAGGAUGUUGCACCAGGACUUAAGAGAGAUGACUGGACGUCUCUGUACUGUACGUAUCUGUUUAUCAAGAUGCCUCCCUGCGGAAGGUGUGCCUACUAUGGUAGACCUUUGAUUUUUAUUUUUUAUUUCUUUUACUUUUUAUAGGAAAAAAAAUGACUAGAUCCCUUUUUGGAAACUGAAUGCGGGUUUUGUGCCUUGACCACCUCUUCUCCCGUGAGGUUUGUAGAAAGUGUCCUGUGACCUAUCACAGAAAUGCAAUAAACACAUAAUAAAGAAUCCCAUGAGUAAUUCUUCCAGUUACCUGUACUCCCACCCCGAAAUGAGUUCACGAAGAAUUCUCUUUGGGGUUUCAGAGGAACCAGGUCAGACAUCCCUUGGAUUAAAAAAAAUCAUACACCGUAGAGAACAGCUUUCUCCUGUUUGCCCUUCUUGAUACUGUAUAUAUUUUGACUAUUUAUUAGAUUAGGAUUUUACUUACCAACUGAGCCAAAUGUCUGUGUGCAAUUGUGCUUCCUUUACCUUUCUUGUAAAAUUUUGUACAGCAUAAAUGAGUAAAGAUCACUGUUUUUACUAAACUUUUUCAGAAUUGAAGACUGUAAAUAUUGUAGAUUCUUUUUUCUGUGUAAUGUGUCCUACUGUUUCAUGAUGCUGUAACUUGUAGAAAUGUUGUAUAUUUAUUUCUUGCUUAUUUAACGUCUUACGUUCUGAAAAGUGUUGACCUCCCUGCUCCUCACCCCACCCCCCUGCUGUACCAUUAGUUGCUUUAACCCUGAGGUGGUGACUGAACCACACGGUCUUCCCCAGGCUGGCCCUCUAGCCUUGUCUCCUGGUCUUUCUGGUCACGCGGAUUUAGAUUCUUGGGGUUUGCUAUCCUUAUGAUGCAGUUUGUGUUUAGCCACCGAUGAGAGACCAUAAAUAUGGCCAGCUACAAAAUUCUACAAGAAAUAGCCAGUUACUUUCUGUUCCAUAAGCGCUAGCUAGCUUCUCAUGGAAGCAAAUUGUAUGAAUGCCAGGCCAUAUCUCUUUUACUAUUAUUAAAGUAUUAUUGGAGGUUGGGACAAUUUUUUUUCUAUUGAAAAUUUAUCCCUGGCCAUUCAGUGUUCAGAAAACUAAAAACAGGCCCCUUCUGGAGGUGCUGCCAGGAGUUCAGGGCAAGAGGAAAGGACAGGUGAGAGAGGUUGCUCCUGCCUCGAGAGUGAUGUCAGGUCCACUUCAUGCCGCUAAUCCCUUUAUGGCAACUGGUGAGUAGUAGUUGAAUUAUCCCCCACCCACCACUGUCCUGUGCUUUGAGGUGUGGACUUAAUGGUAAUUGUACAGACCCCGCCCCCCCACCCCCCACACCUUUUCCCCCAGCCCUGAGCCGUGUGGUUCCUACAUUUGAUCAGCCUGCUUCAGGUUGUCUUCCUUCUGCUUCUUUCUUGGCUUGGAGAGAGAUUGGGGGUCCCACGAUACUGGAUGUGAAAAUGUGGAAGCUGUAGAAAGACUUCCUAGUGGGUCCCAUGUCAGUAGAUGGUUCUAUCAUCCCUGCUGAUUUAGCCUGGUGCCUGUGUGUGUCCACUCCCCACUCACAUGUGUGCAGGGAUGUGACCACACGUGACGCUAAACCAGCUGAGGUGACUCCUGUUCUCCAAAUGGCAUUGUAUUCAAGAAGCAUCCUCAAGCUCCCAGCUAGGUAACUUGACUACUUUUAUUUGGGAAUCAGACUUUAGAAGCUCCCCUAAGUUGUAUGUCUAGGUUCUGUGACCACUAGUUACUGUAUCAGGACUCAUCAGGUACCCAUUUAUAAAUAGCACUGAUCUGUCUGUAUACUGACCCGUCACUAACUUGUUUCCUAGGACCCAGCGUAUGUAGCAUUUGUAUUGCGAUUUCCCUGGCUUACUUGUGUUUUGCACUGAUGAAUUUUGACAGGGUAAUUGCCACUUUACUUGUGCAAUACUGCUGUAAAUAACUGCAGAUUUUUUUUAAGAAACUUAAUCUUUUAUGUUCUUAAUGAAGUUUAUAUAAAUAAAACUUUCAACUAAU